rnacentral:misc_RNA from 1 species
GAUGAAGAACGCAGUGAAAUGCGAUAAGUAAUGUGAAUUGCAGAAUUCAGUGAAUCAUCGAAUCUUUGAACGCACAUUGCGCCCGCCAGCACUCUGGCGGGCAUGCCUGUUCGAGCGUCAUUUCAACCAUCAAGCCCCCAGGGGCUUGUGCUGGGGCCCUGCGGCUGCCCGCAGGCCCUGAAAACCAGUGGCGGGCUCGCUAGUCACACCGAGCGCAGUAGCACAUCUCGCUCAGGGCGUGCGGCGGGCUCCUGCCGUGAAACCCCCCACUGUAACCCCAAAGGUUGACCUCGGAUCAGGUAGGAAUACCCGCUGAACUUAAGCAUAUCAAUAAGAGGAGGA